rnacentral:rRNA from 1 species
UACAGAGGGGGCAAGCGUGGUUCGGAAUUACUGGGCGUAAAGGGCGCGUAGGCGGCCUGCGAAGUCGAACGUGAAAUCCCUGGGCUCAACCCAGGAACUGCGUCCGAUACUGGUUGGCUUGAAUCCGGGAGAGGGACGUGGAAUUCCAGGUGUAGCGGUGAAAUGCGUAGAUAUUUGGAGGAACACCGGUGGCGAAGGCGACGUCCUGGACCGGCACUGACGCUGAGGCGCGAAAGCCAGGGGAGCAAACGGG